GGUUGCGAUCAUACCAGCACUAAUGCACCUGAUCCCAUUAGAACUCCGGAGUUAAGCGUGCUUGGGCGAGAGUAGUACUAGGAUGGGUGACCCCAUGGGAAGUCCUCGUGUUACAACCCC
rnacentral:rRNA from 1 species